UACAGAGGUCUCAAGCGUUGUUCGGAUUCAUUGGGCGUAAAGGGUGCGUAGGCGGCGCGGUAAGUCGGGUGUGAAAUCCCCAGGCUUAACCUGGGAACUGCAUUCGAGACUGCAUUGCUAGAGUAUGGGAGAGGGAAGUGGAAUUUCCGGUGUAGCGGUGAAAUGCGUAGAUAUCGGAAGGAACAUCAGUGGCGAAAGCGACUUCCUGGACCAAUACUGACGCUCAUGUGCGAAAGCGUGGGAGCAAACAGG
rnacentral:rRNA from 1 species